GAGUGAAUCUCAUGCACCUAAAUUCAGGUGGUACGUGAGGGUGUGACAACUAUUUCGACUGCAUUGGCUUCCGGACCUUCUUCUCGUCGAGAAGAACACGUUGGUGCGAUCAGAAAACGAUUUAGAGAACUUUUGCAAAAGUUUGAAAUUCAACCUAUGCUCUGAUAUCAAUUGUUGUACUCAGAAUCAAAUCACCAAUGACACACAUGCGCAGAAACGCACACACACAUACACAAUGAUUUAUGAGGUCAACAAAAUUGCCUACAUCCUAGGACGGCAGAGGUUUCACUAUUAUGCAUAAACAAAUACAAAUCUCUCAUGUUUUCACUUUCACUCUCUCAACCAGAGAAACACAGAGCCUAAGAGAGAGAAAAAAACAAAGACAGAGACUUAUUUUUCUUUUUCUGUUAUGAUGUUCUGAUCUUUGAUUAUUUGAGACUUCACUAUAACUCCGUUUAUAGGCCGAGUGUUCGAAUACAAAUCC
rnacentral:lncRNA from 1 species